GACUACAAGGGUAUCUAAGCCUGUUUGCUCCCCACGCUUUCGCGUCUCAGCGUCAGUAAUCGUCCAGGAAGCCGCCUUCGCCACCGAUGUUCCUCUCGAUAUCUACGAAUUUCACCUCUACACCGAGAAUUCCACUUCCCUCUCCGAUACUCAAGCGAAGCAGUUUCGAGUGCACUUCCCAGGUUGAGCCCGGGGCUUUCACACCCGACUUGCCAAGCCGCCUACACGCGCUUUACGCCCAGUAAUUCCGAACAACGUUUGCACCCUCUGUCUUACCGCGGCUGCUGGCACAGAGUUAGCCGGUGCUUGCUAAAGGGGUACCGUCAUCAUCGCGAGGUAUUAACUCCGACUUAUUCGUCCCCCUCCACAGGGCUUUACAACCCGAAGGCCUUCAUCACCCACGCGGCGUCGCUGCGUCAGGCUUUCGCCCAUUGCGCAAGAUUCCCCACUGCAGCCACCCGUAGG
rnacentral:rRNA from 1 species